AUGCGCUUUGCUUGCACCGGUGUCACAUUUCCGACAUUCUCUCUUGUCGAUGCUAGAUUUUGGAGCUUUUGCGGAAGAUUUUGGAUAUUUUAUUGUAGAGUUUGCUGUAUACGGAUUUGUUUUAUCCAAUUGGUACACAUUCAGAUCACUAUUGUUGUAAAUAUUUCAUUUUAUCGCUUUUCAAGAGAUCAUGAGAAGCAGGAAACAUGA